rnacentral:rRNA from 1 species
GGGUCUGCGUCUCAUUAGCUAGUUGGUAGGGUAAUGGCCUACCAAGGCAACGAUGAGUAGCUGGUCUGAGAGGAUGAUCAGCCACACUGGAACUGAAACACGGUCCAGACUCCUACGGGAGGCAGCAGUGGGGAAUAUUGCGCAAUGGGCGAAAGCCUGACGCAGCAACGCCGUGUGAGGGAUGAAGGCUUUCGGGUCGUAAACCUCUGUCGGAAGGGAAGAACGGGCAAGGGUCCAAUAGGCCCUUGUUUUGACGGUACCUUUAGAGGAAGCACCGGCUAACUCCGUGCCAGCAGCCGCGGUAAUACGGAGGGUGCAAGCGCUAUUCGGAAUUACUGGGCGUAAAGCGCACGUAGGCCGCUUUGUAAGUCAGGGGUGAAAUCCCACGGCUCAACCGUGGAACUGCCCUUGAAACUGCAGAGCUUGAAUCCUGGAGAGGGUGGCGGAAUUCCUGGUGUAGGAGUGAAAUCCGUAGAUAUCAGGAGGAACACCGGUGGCGAAGGCGGCCACCUGGACAGGUAUUGACGCUGAGGUGCGAAAGUGUGGGGAGCAAACAGGAUUAGAUACCCUGGUAGUCCACACCGUAAACGAUGAACGCUAGAUGCCGGAG